UACGUAGGGGGCAAGCGUUGUCCGGAAUCAUUGGGCGUAAAGCGCGCGUAGGCGGCCCGGUAAGUCCGCUCUGAAAGUCCAGGGCUUAACCCUGGAAAGCGGGUGGAUACUGCCGGGCUUGAAUCCGGAAGAGGCGAGUGGAAUUCCUGGUGUAGCGGUGGAAUGCGCAGAUAUCAGGAGGAACACCGAUGGCGAAGGCAGCUCGCUGGGACGGUACUGACGCUGAGGCGCGAAAGCGUGGGGAGCGAACAGG
rnacentral:rRNA from 1 species